AGCAGUGACGCUCUGUUUUCUUUUAAAUUUCUACUUCCUGAAACCGAGGCUGUUUAUGAGAAACAGUGUAUUUCAGGGAGAUUGUCCUAAAAUUAACCUUUUUCAGAGUUAGAUUUGCUGGCCUUAAAAGUGUUUAUCCUCUUCUUCGUGACAAAGUACAUAGGUAAUCAUAAAAGAAACCAUCACUGGUACGAUGACCUCAGUGAUUUUGCCAGGAAACAGUUAUCUGCAGUCAACCACCACCAGAAGCAGAUGAUCUUCCUUCUGACAUUUCGUCACAUGCCUGCAUCAUUCACCUGACUUCAUCUCCUCACAUAGGUAUUUUAUCGGCUCACGUCAUCACAAGAAGAAUGGUACCUCCGCCUUGAAGGGGCUCUUUUAUUGAGAAUCGAUGUCUUCUUCUGCGUAAUUGAUCACCAUAGACCCAGGGACACUUGACUCAUCGUUGAGGAAGAGUGAUCAUCAUGAAUAAUCAAAAAGCUGUAGCUACACUACUGCAAGAGUGCAAGCAAGUGCUGGACCAGCUCUUGUUGGAGGCGUCAGAUGUGUCGAAGGAGGACAAGAGCGAGGACCAGCAGUGCAGAGCUUCACUCCCCAGUGAGUUAAGGACCCUGAUCCAGGAGGCAAAGGAAAUGAAGUGGCCCUUCGUGCCUGAAAAGUGGCAGUACAAACAAGCCGUGGGCCCAGAGGACAAAACAAACCUGCAGGAUGUGAUUGGCGCCUGGUUGCAGCAGUUACUGGUAGGGAGAGCCCCACCACCUGUUCCUCUGACACCCCCAAGUA